rnacentral:rRNA from 1 species
UGGGGAAUUUUGGACAAUGGGGGAAACCCUGAUCCAGCCAUCCCGCGUGUGCGAUGAAGGCCUUCGGGUUGUAAAGCACUUUUGGCAGGAAAGAAACGUCAUGGGUUAAUACCCCGUGAAACUGACGGUACCUGCAGAAUAAGCACCGGCUAACUACGUGCCAGCAGCCGCGGUAAUACGUAGGGUGCAAGCGUUAAUCGGUAUUACUGGGCGUAAAGCGUGCGCAGGCGGUUCGGAAAGAAAGAUGUGAAAUCCCAGAGCUCAACUUUGGAACUGCAUUUUUAACUACCGGGCUAGAGUGUGUCAGAGGGAGGUGGAAUUCCGCGUGUAGCAGUGAAAUGCGUAGAUAUGCGGAGGAACACCGAUGGCGAAGGCAGCCUCCUGGGAUAACACUGACGCUCAUGCACGAAAGCGUGGGGAGCAAACAGG